CCUACGGGGGGCAGCAGUGAGGAAUAUUGGUCAAUGGACGAGAGCCUGAACCAGCCAAGUAGCGUGAAGGAUGACUGCCCUAUGGGUUGUAAACUUCUUUUAUAAAGGAAUAAAACGAGGCACGUGUGCCUUUUUGCAUGUACCUUAUGAAUAAGGAUCGGCUAACUCCGUGCCAGCAGCCGCGGUAAUACGGAGGAUCCGAGCGUUAUCCGGAUUUAUUGGGUUUAAAGGGUGCGUAGAUGGGUUGUUAAGUCAGUUGUGAAAGUUUGCGGCUCAACCGUAAAAUAGCAAUUGAUACUGGUUGUCUUGAGUACAGUAGAGGUAUGCGGAAUGCGUGGUGUAGCGGUGAAAUGCUUAGAUAUCACGAAGAACCCCGAUUGCGAAGGCAGCUUACUA
rnacentral:rRNA from 1 species